AUCAACAAAAUCUCUUUUUCACAUUGUUAAUUCGGGCAACAUCUGAGAUAUUAAAACAAAAUUGCUUUAGUCUUUAUUGUUGAUUGAAGAUCCCGUGUAGAUCAAACGUUGUGUCCUUAACCAGGACGUUUGGGAUUACUGAAAAUACCCCCAGCUGAAAUGUCUACAGAUAAAUUGCUAAAUGAACA